UACGUAGGGCGCGAGCGUUGUCCGGAAUUAUUGGGCGUAAAGAGCUCGUAGGCGGCCUGUUGCGUCUGCUGUGAAAUCCCGGGGCUCAACCCCGGGCGUGCAGUGGAUACGGGCGGGCUAGAGGCAGGCAGGGGAGAACGGAAUUCCCGGUGUAGCGGUGAAAUGCGCAGAUAUCGGGAGGAACACCGGUGGCGAAGGCGGUUCUCUGGGCCUGUUCUGACGCUGAAGAGCGAAAGCAUGGGGAGCGAACAGG
rnacentral:rRNA from 1 species